ensembl:lncRNA
GUUCAGAAAAAGUAGAUUAAAGGUGGACCUUCUGUAUGGGACCCCUACCUGGGAUGACCCUGACUAAAAUUAAACUUACAUAAAUCAUUACACAAAAUAUAUAUUUUUUUCUGAUUAUAAGCACUGGGAUUCAAUCAAAGCGAAUGUGAAACGUGCAUGUAGUGAUUUUAUCAGCUGGACACAAACCACACGGCCACCCUGAACUACUCUACGCGCCGAAACCGGACACAAAUGUCUGGACACAAUCAAAGUUUAAAGGGUUUGUCUGGACACACAUAAGUCCGUGUAAAUAAAGAGUCGUUUCCUGAUCACAGCCGUGUCCGAUGAAGAAUCAAACCUUCACUCAAGCAGCGGACCCUUCAGUGCACCAGCUUUAUAAAGUGAUCUCCCGCCGAAACCGAAACAAAGCGCAAAGUUGAUUGAUCGCGGAAGUUUUCUCGACUUGAUCAGACUAGAGAUCUGGUGAAACCCAAAGCGCGAUGCCAGCAGCGCAUGACGGCUGAGACGCACUUCUCUCGCCAGCGCUGGAAUGGACGCGCCUCUCGCCGGAGCACCAGCUCAAACUAGACCUAAAGCGCGUAUUUAAGGUUGUUGGGUUCUUUUGCCUCGCUCGGACCGCUGUUGAAGUUUUCUGUGAGAAACAUGUAAGAGGCGUUGGACGCCGCUGGACCAUGUCCAUCUUUCCAAGCCUUGACUGGUGCGCGCCAGAGUCCCUCAUCAUCCCAUGGUCAAUGUGUGUGAACAGGCCUGCUGUCUGUGUGACUGUCAUGCUGCUGCUCGCAGCGGCCCACAGUAAACGUGCCUGUGAUUAUACUGCCAUCAUCAGCACCUACAGGGCUCUCAUCCUGGUUGAGCUCCAGAACCUGAAUCUGACUGGUGCAUUUGACUUGUCAAAAGAAAAGGACCACUGUCCGUCUGAGAAGGUUCACCGUAUCCUGCGAUAUAUCUAUAAUAUGACCCAGAUCUUCAGCUGCUUGAGUGAGCGGCAGAGACAGCAUGCAGAUCACAUGACGAAGGUGGUGGGACAGAUGGAGCUGCUCAUCACACGAAACUGCCGCAAACCAGAGAGACUGGCGAGUAGACGGAAAAAAGCAUCUUGCAAACCAGGGAAGAAAGCAAAAGGAAGACAGCGGCGGAGAGUGAAAAUGAUGGGAAUGCUUAUAAACUGCUGGCAGAGGCUGCUGAGUGUGACCGCUUAUUAAAUUACAGCAUACACAGGUCUCAGUUCAGCUCCACUACACAUUAUUUAAAACAUUAUGCACAUUAACUUUCCCUUCAUCGUUAUUUAUUCACUUUCACUUUUUAAUAAAAAAGAAACACCGAGUGUUUUGUAUAAUACUCCUUCGGUGUAAUAAUAAGCUGAGAUUGUGUCGAACACGUAAGACAUUGUAUGGUUAUACGUUUCUACUUCUGGUUGUAUAUCUUUUAUUUGAGAGCACUUAUAUAUGUUUUGUGUAUAGCAAGUUUAAAAGCUAUUAAACAGUUACAUGCACAGUUAGAUGCACAUAUACACAUGGACACUCACAUCUGGUGCUGCACAUUGAGCCAAAACUACAACUCUAAUAAUUUAAAGUUGACAACGUUAUUCAUGUUCUCAUGGUUCCAAUGCUAAUAAUUGUACAUUCACAACAUAAUUACUCAAAAUAAGCUGUCUCAGUAACUUAUCUCCUACCUUUUUUUAGUGGAUUCAUCUUUUAAAUCGUGUGUUGGGUAGAAGAAGGUGCUUAUUUGUCUGAAUUACUUUGAAGUUUUAUUGGAUAGUGUAUUGGAUUUUAUUGGAAACUGUCAGACAUCAAUUUGCUGCUUAGGUGCUGCUGAUUUGUCUUGUUUUGUUGAUUCCUUCUGUAAGUCCACUUUUUCUGUAGGUAGAUUUAAAAAUAAAUUAAUAAAAACUCUGAAAAGACUCAAACAGUGGCAUGUGUCUUUUUCAAACUUUAUUUUAUUUUAUUUUAUUUCAUGUU